UUAAACUUGAUUGAGCUAAAAAGUUGAGAGAGCAGAUAGAUGUCGUGAAGGAUGCCAAAGAUCUCCAAGUGAAUAGCCUUGUUCUCUAUUCUCUUCAUCUCAGUUUUAUUUUCUCAAAGUUAUCAAACCUCUUCAGUUGAUCUCUUCAAAUUCUUUCAACCAUUUAUUUGUCCCUCAAACCAGUUCCUCUGUUCUUUGUUCUCUUCAAAUUCUUUGAAGAAUUAUUUUAUCCCUCAAAUCAGCUCAUCUAUUCUAUGAACAACUACGUAUCAGAUAUUUCAAAAAUAAGUUUCAUAUAUGACAACAAAGACAAAAGAGGAGAAUUAUAUCGGGAAGGAACACUUAAGCAAGAAGAAUAAUAUUCUGGAGAAGAACAUGGUUGUCGUCCUCACACAUUAAUAAAGAUAAGAUUUGAUGGAAAAGUGAGAUGGUCGGAGGUGGUGAUGACGGCAGCUUUCGUUUAUCAAUUGAAGAAAAAGGUGAUACUUGGGGAGGAAGUUGCAGCGUCUAAGCUCACAAUUUUGGAGAUUUGUAAACAUGUUUAUCAUGCAGUACGAGCAGGAGCAAGACAAAGUCUCAUUAACGAAACUAUAAUAUGAAAGAUUUAGAAAGUCAUAUACCUUUUUUUACAAGCACCAAACAAGAUUCAUGGAGUCAUUCUCAUCCUCAUUCUCAAAAGGAUCAUAGAAAGUGUACUUGAAGCCUACUCACUGUUAAAGGUGAUGAUUUGAUAUUGUAGACAUAUCUAUACUAUACUAAAAGGCUAAUAAGAUCAAAGGAGAAGGCCUCCACAUCAGCAAUUUAAUUCCAGCCAAUAGGAGAAUAGCAAUCGUCCACGUCGGAUCCUUCUUUUACAUCUGAUGGGCUUCAACCGCAACUCAACUCAUCUAACGAUUGUCGAAACGAUUGUCGAUUGGGUUCCUAUUCAUCUUCUUCUUUCCUCCGUUUACGAAUCUAUCAUACGGGAAAUCAUCAGUUGUUCUUUCAAAAAUCGAUGAGAUCUGGAAGUAUUCAAGCAUCUGAACGCAAAGGUAGGAGGUUCACAGAUGGCGAUAACCAGCUCCACUUUUCCGAUUUGAAGGACGGAUUUUGUAAGAAUAGAUUCUGCGAUUCUGGGAAGAAUCUGAAGAAAGUUGGUGAGCCUCUCCAAGAACGGCCGAAGAGAUGAAGACUCUCCAGAUUUGUGUGCCCAACCAAAGAGAAUCGGAGGAUGCGAGAAGAGACAAAGAGCUUGGAGAGGCAGAGCAGGAGAUAGACAUUCUAAACCUCGAGUGUGAGUGAAUACCAUUCCAGAUAAGGAAAUGAAGAGAAGAUAGACGCCAUAGCAUCGCCGCGUAUGCCAGAAUAUGAAGUGAAUCAGAGGACGAGAGAAGAGACAGAGAGCUUGGAGAGGCAGAGCAUGCCAUGGAAACCUUUUGUAAACACAUGUCGCUUUUCCCUGUUGGCUAAUGACUGUAAUUUCAUUCACUCUCUGUCGCUUGAAGCUGCUGAAGGACAAAGGAGAGAGGAACUGAAGAGAGAGAGAGACAGUUAAGGCUCGUGAUGCUGACGUACGAAGCAUACCAUCAACAAUGGCGGAUCUAGGCCGCAACAAGAAGAUGGAGAAACAGACGUUAAAUACCAUACAUGCGACUAAAUCUUUGAUGUCACAGAGCCAGUGACAAGUGCCAGAAAGAGAAAUGGAAAACUGUGAAUGGUGAGGAUAAGUUGUGGGCAAUGUCAACAUUAGAUUUCGAGAAUUACUUGGAACCCUUAAAGCUGUACCUUGCGAGGUACAGGGAGUCUCUUUGCAAUGGUGUGAUGCCUUCAAGCAAAAGCAAAAAGCCAGUCAGCAGAACAUUUAUUUUGAGAAAACCAGGUUUGGUUUUUAUGUAUUUUAAUUUUACUGGAACAAAAAGAUUGAAAGAUGAAAAACAUUUGACUUUGGCUUAGAUACUGAGACAUUAGAUAAGACUUUUGUAAAACCAACACUUGGUUCAGCCUUUUAAUGAUUGGUCCAAUGCUGGCAAUAGAGGAGGUGAUGGGUUUUUAUCAGAGGAAGAGAUAAGGGCUAGAAGUAAUGAAACGCUUGAGAACGACGAUAUACAGCAGUUGAUGAGUUUUUUUUUCUCAAAUUGUGAUUGAGAGAAGAUGGUCAACAACCUAAAAUUUUAAAUUAUUAUUUGUUUAAAAAUGCUCGAAAGUAAAUAAUGUGAAGUAGAUUUUGUUGUGUGUUUGUAUUGGAAAAACAGGUGGUUGUUCUUAGCGUGUCUUCACUGUCCAUGUAGGCUGUGAAGCAAAGGGAAGAAACAUCUAUCUAGAAUGAAGGUGUGACGUCAUUCAAAAUUAAUUUUCCUUCAAAGGUGUGUGGCUGGAGACAUCAGUCCCUUACAAGUAGUGGGUUGUUUCUCAAAGGUCAAAAAUACUCAGCUCAGAGCGGAUCCUUAUGCAGGGUGUAACUGCUAAUAAGAUUUCUACACAGCUCUCACCUCGGUCAUCUACUAUAUUUGGAUUGCUUCCUUUAUUCACUAAGAAACAGUUACUUCUCCAUCUUGAGUCUGAUGAUUCUGCUCAGCUAGCCCAUGCAACCAUUGGGAUUGAUUUUCUGUCCAAGACAAUGUACCUUGAGGAUAUGACUCUUUGUUUCCAACUAUGUAAGCGUCUGACUUUAUAGCCACAAGGAUACUGCAGGACAUGAGAGAUUUCGCAGUCUAAUACUCAGUUAUAUCAGAGACUUUUCUGUUGCUGUAAUUGUCAAUGAUGCUGCAAAUGGACCAACAAAAACUUUCAUUACACAUAGAUUUUGCAAGAAUGGUAUGUAAAUUCUCCUCUGUUAUGCCAUCAUUCUUGAACACCUCCAUGUUGAUUGAGGAUGUUCGUACAGAGAGAGGUAUCGAUGUGUGUUGCGUAGAGAUUUAUUAUGUUUACUGAGUAAAUUCUCUGCUCUGCAAUUUCAAGCCAAGAUCACACUCAAGUCAGUCGUGUUUGGAGGUCUAAGACACAGAUUGGAAGAGAUGGACUAACCGCUAUUUUGAACAUGACAUUGCAGAAGAACGUGUCUUUAAGAAGGUUUUCAUAACAAGGCUGCAAGGGGGUAAGAGGUGAUAGAGUAUUGGAGGCAAUCAUAGAGACAAUGUAGAUUCAUCCAUCUCUUGAGGAAACUGAUUUAGAGAGGACUCUGCUUCAAGAGUCAAGGAAAGAAAAUGAUAUUAAUCAGAAGCCGGGUACAUUGGUAAGAAGAUGGCUGAAGCGUGGAGUGAUUCACUCAUGGAUAUGACAGUAACAACGACAAAGACCAUCAAAGCUUCCUUACGCGGACAAGACAAUGCAUAUGCAAGACAACCCUCGGCAACUCUAUAAUGCAAAGUUUAUAUUCUUCCGAUUUAACAUACUUCGAUGAAUCUCAUGGAGCAAGCUGUUCAAAUAGUUGGUAAGAUGAUAAUGACAUUUAUUGACGAGGAGACAAAGAUUUCGAUGUGCAAUCUUGCGGGGCUUGAGUUCUAUGCUCUUCAGUCUUCAUGAUCUGAUGUUCUCGAGCACAUGUCCAAAUACUCCAAAUUAGUUUUCUUUGCUCUCUCUACCAGGUUAAAAGGUGGGGCCAUAUCAUCUUCCAUAUUAUAUCAUCCAAAUACUCCAAAUUAAUUUUCUUUGGUUGUAAAGUUUUUUUUAAGUUUGUGAACACUUUAAAUUUCAUCAUCGUAAAACUUUAUAUAUCUAAAUAAAGUCUUAUCUACUUGCUGAA